CCAAAACCCUAACUCAACCCCGCUCCUUAUAAAUAUCAUCCCAACUCAAAACCCUAAUUAUGCAAAAGUGCCAUUUCUUGUUAGGCGGCUCAACCAAAUGUCAAAGCCAGGACGAGUUGUUUCUGUUGGAAACAAGUUGAGAAUGUCACUGGCUCUGCCAGGUGAAGCUGUGGUGAGUUGUGCAGAAAACAUUGUGGUAGGCUAAGAAUCUUUACGUCAUAUUGGUGAAAUAAAAUAGGGUUUGCCUCAACAGAAAAUAACAUCAACACCCGAAACGGACAGAAACUUGCAAUAUAGAACCAGUGAACCACGGAGUUGUUAAGCAGACAUUAGUAAGGUAUCCUGGUCAACAAACUAUGGUUUAUACAGUUACAGGUCUGGGACAUUAAACCGAGUCCAUCGUUACAGAUGUGAUGACCUUUUUGUCAUGCUCACAUCUGCUACAUUGGGGCUCUACAGAAGGGAGGCCGUGAUGUUGAUUUCAUCUUUUAGUUCAGAAAAUGGACAUUAGUAAGAGCCUUGGUCCUGGCAAGGUAGUUCAGUAUCGGUUACAUCGUGACCUUUUUAUACAAAUGCUGAUGAUGCAGCCAUGGUGAGGCCCUUCUCUUCUGUCUCUUGCCUGUGUAAAGUUGAAUCUGAGCCUUUUUUCUGAAACCCUGAUAUUAGGGUUACACUCAUUAGUCAUUAGUUUAAGUAUGAGGCUUCACUCUUUGAGAGAAGGUUGUCUUGAUAGCUGUUGCCCUCUUGAAGUUGCUGUGUAAGCCAAUGAUCAUUAUAAUUGAGUUUACCAAACAGCUCUCCACAUGCAUACACACAAACAUAUAUUCUGCUACUUCAUCUUCUUCUUCUUCUUCUUGCUAUGACGAGGCAAUGAUGAUAUUUUCUGCAAUUAGACCAGAUUUGAGUGAAGAGCUGUGUCCUGGCUAGGUGACUUUGUAUCUGUGUUAAAUUUGCCUUCUGGUUCUUGCACAGAUGCUGUUGACGCAGCCUGUGCACAAGCCAUUCCCUCUGUUGUCUGAUAAAAGGCGAAUCUGAGCCUCCUUUAUUCAUAACUCAAGUUGUGUUUUGGUCUAUGUUUUUGUUGUUUGGGUUUUUAAGAAUUAAGUGGCUAAAGAAAAACAUUUAAGGUUUGUCAUAAUAAUUUUACCUUCUUGACACAAUUAUAAAUUUGUUUUUGCUUCUGAGUGCUUUAAAAUUUCAGCUGAUUGGAAUAGUCAAUUAUAAAUAUUGCUGUUUGGUCAAAUGAUUCAUGAGGAGGUUCAGUGAAUUAGUUGUGUGUGAACUACCUAGCUCUCUGAGAUUUGCUCCAUUAAUAUGCAUCUGAUUCAAAAUAUUCUAUUUCGACAUAAUGCAGUUGCCAUUGUCUAUUCGAAGGGAGAAAUGAGAGUAAGGAAGACAUUUUCCUAGAUGCCUUAUUUUGCAUAAUUUGUAUUUGAAUCACUGAUUUUACAAUAACUUUUGUUCACUUGCCUGCAGAACUUGCUUGGAAAUUUUUUGGUUUAAACUCUUCUGCAAUCUUGAAAUGGAUGUGUUGUUUUCAAAGCUGAGGCUGUUAUUUCCAUGCUUUUGUUCAGAUUUUGUCGAUUGGGAAAUAGUGUGCUGAUUUUUGUUCAAUUCUCGAAUCACUUUUUAGGUAGGGGAAACUUUUCAAAUCAAUUUUUAAGCAGACGAAACGUUUACUAUUCAUGGAACUUUGUAAUAAAAGAGUCGUGAUGCAGCCUAAAAAGGAUAUGAUGGGAUGGACAUUCCCAUGUGUACUUUUAUCAAUUUUGCACAAUGCAGAGUACCCCGCAUUUCAUUA